UUGACCUCAAAUCAGGUAGGACUACCCGCUGAACUUAAGCAUAUCAAUAAGCGGAGGAAAAGAAACUAACAAGGAUUCCCCUAGUAACUGCGAGUGAAGCGGGAAAAGCUCAAAUUUAAAAUCUGGCGGUCUAUGGCUGUCCGAGUUGUAAUCUAGAGAAGUAAUGCCCGCGCUGGACCGUGUACAAGUCUCCUGGAAUGGAGCGUCAUAGAGGGUGAGAAUCCCGUCUUUGACACGGACUACCAGGGCUUUGUGGUAUGCUCUCAAAGAGUCGAGUUGUUUGGGAAUGCAGCUCUAAAUGGGUGGUAAAUUCCAUCUAAAGCUAAAUAUUGGCGAGAGACCGAUAGCGAACAAGUACCGUGAGGGAAAGAUGAAAAGAACUUUGGAAAGAGAGUUAAACAGUACGUGAAAUUGCUGAAAGGGAAACGCUUGAAGUCAGUCGCGUUGACUAGAACUCAGCUUCACUUUUGUGGGGUGUACUUUUUAGUUGACGGGUCAGCAUCAAUUCUGACUGCUGGAAAAAGGCUUAGGGAAUGUGGCAGCUCCGGCUGUGUUAUAGCCCUUUGUCACAUAC
rnacentral:rRNA from 1 species